rnacentral:rRNA from 1 species
AUUGAACGCUGGCGGCAGGCUAACACAUGCAAGUCGAACGAGUGGCGGACGGGUGAGUAAUAUAUCGGAACGUGCCCAGUAGCGGGGGAUAACUACUCGAAAGAGUGCUAUACCGCAUACUAUUGGAGCGGCCGAUAUCGGAUUAGCUAGUUGGUGGGGUAAAGGCUACCCAAGGAAACGAGCCGUAGCUGGUUUGAGAGGACGACCAGCCACACUGGGACUGAGACACGUCCCAUACUCCUACGGGAGGCAGCAGUGGGGAAUUUUGGACAAUGGGUGAAACCCGGAUCCAGCCAUGCCGCGUGUGUGAAGAAGGCUGCGGGUUGUAAAGCACUUUCAGCGAGGAGGCGUUACUCGCAGAAGAAGCACCGGCUAACUCCGUGCCAGCAGCCGCGGUAAUAC